rnacentral:lncRNA from 1 species
UGUAUGUACGUAUGAAUCGAUCUAUCUAUCGAAUGUGUAUGUGUGUGUUGGGGGGGGGGGGUUGCGCUGUUUUUCCUCCUUACCAACCAGUGUAGUUUUCUCUGUAACUUUACGGUUCGAUAAGAUGAAGCGAUUAAACAAAUAGUGGAGACGAUUUUUUAAAGUAUAACCUUCACAUCGCUGCCCCAGCAUGGCUGCUGUGUAAUGAGUGAAAGAAACAAAAUAGAAAACAAUAUAUAUAUAUAUAUAUUCUUUUACAUAUAUAUAUAUAUAUAUAUAUAUUCUUAUAUAUAUAUAUAUAUAUAUGUAUAUUCUUUUAUAUAUAUAUAUAUAUAUAUAUAUAUAUAUAUAUAGCUCUUCUGGUGACGUCGAUGUUCGCCUGGGGCUAAAUGCAUCAGUAACACCCCCACCACCCCGCCCUGACCCUAGCCACAUUCAGAUGGCUGAUCCCUCUUAUGUUAUAUAUAUAUUCUUUUAUUCCGUUAUUUGACUGCCGCCAUAUUGGAGCAGCGCUUUUAAGGGUCUUAGUCCAACAAAUCGACCCCAGAGUGUGUGUGUGUGUGUGUGUGUGCGUGUGUUAUCGUCUUAUGUAAUGCGAAUGGGUCGUACCACGAACCCACAAAACAUGAAGUCCUAUGGAUCUGUGUGAAACUUUCUGCCUAAUAUUUCACCUUUUACAUUACUUAAAUUAAAAUAGAAUUUUGUCCACUCACACGUCUGUCUGUCUGUCCUUCUAUCUACGUCCCUGGUCAUCGCCGACAGCAACAAACUAAUAUAAUAUCUAUAUAUUUAUAUAUCUGUGUGUGUUCGAACUGAACUGUCGCUUCACAUAUCGUAAAACUCUGAGUACCGGGGGAGUGAAGCUUCAGUUUCUUUCGAGUAAAUAUUUUCAUUCUGUUUUUACCAUUUUUUUCACUCCUUUCCUCUAACACACACACACACACACACACACACACACACACACACACACACACACACACACACACACUGCACAAAUGCGCGCUUGCUUAGACGCACACACGCGUAAAUAGAAGCUGUGUGUCUCGGCGUGUGUUCCAUCAGUGCGUUGAUGCUUCGCUCCGCGGCGUUCCUCUCUAGCAGUCGAUGCACAACGGCAACACGGAGUUACUGAUUCUUUGCAUGUGUGCAUGUAUGUGCUUAUGUGUGUGUGUUCUUCUGUGUGUGUGUAUGUGUAUGUGCGUAUGUGUGUGUGUGUGUAUGUGUGUGUGUAUGUGUGUGUGUGUGUAUGUGUGUGUGUGUGUAUGUAUCCAUGUAGGCGGAGAUGUGGUUGUGUGCUAAGAAGCUUUCUUCUCAGUCACACGGUUCCAGGUUCAGUCCCACUGCGUGGCACCUUGGGCAAGUGUCUUCUACUAUAGCCUCGGGAUGACCAAAGCCUUUUGAGUAGAUUUGGUACACGGAAACUGAAAGGAGCUCUUCGUACAUAUGUAUAUAUAUAUAUAUAUAUAUACACACACACACACAUAUGUGUGUAUGUGUACGUGUGUGUGUGCGUUUGUCCCCACCAUCGCUUGACAACCGAUGUUGGUGUGCUUCUGUCCCCCUAACAUAGUUGUUCGGCAAAAGAGACCGAUAGAAUAAGUACUAGGCUUACAAGGAACAAGUCCUGGGGUAAAUUUCUUCAACCAAAACCCUUUAAGUUGGUGCACCAGCAUGGCCGCAGUCAAAAGACUGAGACAAGUAAAAGAAUAUAUAUUUGUAUAUAUUAUACACACACACACACACACACACAUAUAUAUAUAUAUAUAUAUGUAUAUACAUAUAUACGCUUGUAUCAAUGUAUGUAUAUAUCUUUCUAUCUCUACACAUAGGUAUGUAUUUGUAUGGUGUGUAUGAUUUAAUAUCUAUAAACUGUAUGUGUGUGUGGGUGUGUGUGUUUAUUUGUAGAUGCGUAACUGUUUUUGGUCUUGUUUUCUUCACAUUCUGCCCCAAUUCCUCAGAGAUAUAUAAUCAACGAACUUCUAUUUACGCCAUUUCCAUGUCAUUCUAAAAACGAAGAAAUAAAACUUUCACGGUCUCCUCUUUUGAAGAGCAUAGUGUGACAUUUGAUAAUAGGGUAGGGCUUGACAUCUAUUUCCAGCAGGCUGCGUGACCGCUUAGAAGUCAAACCAAACGGUUCGUUUUCUAUAAUGGCAUUUCCUGUAUUUAUGUGUGUACGUUUACGUGUGUAUGUGCUUAAGUGGAAUGUUUAUCUUACGUGUGUGUGUGUGUUGCAUGUGUAUGUGUAUAUUUUGCAAGUGUAUCUGUGUAUGUCUGCGUAAGUUUAUAUAUUGAUAUAUGUGUGUGUGUGUGUGUGUGCGGUUAUGUAUUUUUGGCGCCCAUAAUGAUUUAAAUAAUAUUUAUGUAUCUUUUCGUAAAUUCACACUGACAUAUACAUGCAUGACUGAUGUAGGUCUCUGCAUGGCUAUGUGUGUGUGUGUGUGUAUAAAUAUAAACAUACAUGCAUACGUACUCACACACACACACACACACACACACACACGCACAUACACAUGGGCCCAACGUAGCCGUAUGAUUAAGGAGUUUCUCAUUUCUAGAUUCGAACCCAAUGUGUAGUUUCUUAGUAAAGUGUCUAUUAAUGUGUCUCCGGUCGAUCGAUGUCCUGUAACUGAGACUGGGGAGAAGGAAACUGUAAGGAAGCCUCAUCCAAUGGAUCGUUCCUUUUACUGACAUUGUAUUAUAUUCAUUAUACUAGAGAAUCUAAAUUAAGUGGAUACACUUCUCUGUAGAGUAAUCGACCACACAACACGCUAAUUAAAUAAGUUAUUUAGUUUGUCCAUUUAAUUAGUUUACUCAUGCAAGCGGACACUCCGUCGAUUACGACGAUGACGGUUCCAGCUAAUCCGAUCAACGGAACAACCUGCUCCGUUGAUCAGCACAUGAAAUUGACGUGUAAGUGGCUGAGCGCUCCACAGAUACGUGUACCCUUAAUGUAGUUCUCAGGGAGAUUCAGUGCGACGCAGAAUGUUACAAAGGACAGCCUUUUGGAAUACAAAUACAACUGUUUUUUUUCCCCGGCUGAGCGGACUGGAUCAAUGUGAAAUAAAGUGUCUUGCUCAAGGACACAAUGCGUCGCCGUGAUUCGAACCAAGGACAUCAAGACUUACCUGAAUAACCACCAAGCCACGCGCCUUCACUGAUACUGUAUUACACGCGUUAUAUUACAGAAUUAAAUUAAGGGAGUCGACGGUCUCUGCUGAAUACUCGGCCACACAACACACUAAUUAAAUGAGCAAGCAAUUUAGCCGCUCCAUUUAAUUAGUGCGCUCGUACAAAAAAAGCUCGAUUAUGGAUGGGUGCUGAAAAAAUUCGCUUGGCAACAUCGUGGUUGCGGGUUCAGUCCGGAUGCGUGCCGAAACGAGAAGCCGAGUGGGUAGGUUCUGCGAAUAGUUACGGAAGGCCGUCGUGUAACAACAAUGCAGGAAAUAACACACGCAGCGGGGAUAAGCAGGGGAUCAGUGCAUAGGAAGAGUGUCGGUGAAAACGAAGUGGGAGACUUUUUGAACGCACUUCGUAAUCCGAGUUUUCCCGGUCAAGAAAAAAAUACACCACUUGUUCGACAGACUCCCUACUCUCCCGACCUGGUAUCGUGUGACUUCUGACUGUUUGACCUUAUUAAAACUUCAGCAGUUCUUACAACUCCGAUCGUCGAAAUGCUUUGGUUAAUAAAAAUUCCUCCUCCUAAUAAUUUUGCUUUCAUUUCGUGAUAGACAGCUAUCAUGCAACAAAUGCCGCCUUCUAAAUCCUGUUUUCUGAUUAGGUAAAAUUGAUUAAACUUUAAACCUCAGUAACAUUUUUCUGCAAUUUUUCUGGAACAACCAAAUAAAAUCUGUUUCUAUCCUUCUGUGUGUGUGUGUGUGUGUGUGUGUGUGUGUGUGUGUGUGUAUAUAUAUAUGCAUGUAUGUGUGUAUGUACGAAUUUGUUAUGCAAGUACUAAAUCCAAUGUGUAACAAUGGAUCCUUAGUGUGGCGCUGGUAUAAAAUACCAAACGCUAUUCGCGUUUUCUAUUAUAUACACACGCGCACACACACACACACACAUGUAUGUAUGUGCAUGUAUGUGUGUAUGUGUGUGUUCUUCUGUGUGGAUACGAGUGAGAGUCAAAAAUUAUAAGCACUCUAGUUUUUCCAAUGUAUUCACACAAAAGCAGGGGAUAAAUGACAAGUCCUUUCGAUUCACUUGGUCCAGCGGUCCACAGGCCUACAUAUUCCCUCCAAAAAGAAGAUUUUCGGUUGGUCGUGCAGCCAUUUAUGCAUUGUCUUCUUCACAUCUUCAUCCGUAGGAAAUCGCCGACUUCGCAAACCAUCUUUGAUAGUCAGAAGGGGUGAGAUCUGGGCUGUAGGCAGGGUGUUCCAGCACGUCAAAACCCACUUGGUAUAUGGUUCAACGGUCUGGGCGGCCGUGCGUGGGCGUGAAUUAUCAUGCCACAACAAAACUCUCUUGGACUUUCUUGGCUUCGGCGUUUGGUAUGAAUUACUGGCUUGAGUCUGUUGCCCAGCAAAGCACUGUAUCUUGAUCGUACACCCAUGUUCCAGAGAAAUCGGAUCAUUACUCUUUGUACUUCUUUGGUGCCCAUUGCUUGUGGAGCCAGAAAGAAAAAAUGGCGCGAUCAGGCUCAAACGUCAAUCACGGGAACACAAUAGUACCAACUCUAAGCACGCAUGUGCGGAAGGCAGUUUGACAAUAAUAAAGACAUGUUAUGGCGAAAGAGCGGAUAAUUUUUGACUUCCCCUCGUAAAUGUGUGUAUAUAUAUAUAUAUAUAUAUAUAUAUAUAUAUCUCCAUAUAUGUGUGUGUGUGUGUGUGUGUGUGUGUGUGUGUGUGUGUGUGUGUGUGUGUGUGUGUGUACACACGUACAUGAGUAAUAUAUAUGUGCGCGCGCGCGUGUCUUCAUGAUGAUGGCCAGAAUGGUGUGAAACUAGUUAUAAAGAACAAAAUAUUCAGUCUACACAGGAGAAACUUGAAAAAUCUCAGCUAAGAUCACUCACAGGCUGAAUAUAUUCCAACAUUGGUGUCUUCGUAGAAUUCUCGCCAUCAUCUUUUGGGACACCAUCACAACUCUGAAGUGAUUUCUUCUUUUUCAGUUUGGCCGUCCUUCGAGACGCUUCAGUGAUUUCACGCGAGCAUGCCAUCAAUCACGGUCCCUCGUGCAUGUUCUCAAUUCAUCAACAUUUGCCAUUCCAUUGUCCUGAAGCAAGUUGUCCACAUAGAUUAGACGUUUCUUCCCCUGUUGAUUCUUUUCCUCUGCCGUAAGACAUGUUUGACACAGGUUGAUCUGGGCGGAUGACACAUUGACCUGCAAUUCUCAUUCUUUUCUGUUGUAUCUUCUGUCCCUUUGGGUAAAUCUUGAUAAAGCAGUUCGUUGCUUAAAUGAACUCUCCAUGUAAUAUUCAGAGCCAUUCUUAAUAUUCUUGUGUAGCAGCCGUCUGUUUGUUUUUUCAAGCUCUUUGGUGAGGGUCCAAGUCAUGAGAAGAGACAAUCCGCGCAGCCCGUAGGAGAUUACGGCGGAGAGAAGAGUGAGGCUUGCAGACCAGGUCCUCUGGCUGCCAGAUGAACAAAUAGCAGACAUAGCUGUGUAAUAUGUACCAGCUGGGGGACAAAUGAAGAGAAAGAGACCCCCAAAAGACAUAGCGUACCCCCUUCAAAGAAGAUCUGAAGCAUGUUAGCAUCACCUAGGAAGACACAGACCCCAUGUGCUCAAAACUAGGAAGCUUUGAGACAUCUUGCUGCCCGGUGAUAUAAGCCAGCUAUACAGAAGAAACUAGCACAAUAUAUACAUUUUUUCGCGCCCUUUUCAAGCCUAGCUAGGCCAUGGGCCGGUUUCCCGGUUUCUGUGGCGUAUGCGUUCCCCCAGCUGAACGGGACGCCAGUCCAUGGGUUACCCAAGAAACAGGAAGUACAACAGGGGUCGUCACCACCCCUGCCGGAGCCUCGUGGAAUUUUAGGUGUUUUCGCUCAAUAAACACACACAACGCCCGAUCUGGGAAUCGAAACAACGAUCCUCCAACCGCGAGUCCGCUGCCCUAAUCACUGGGCCAUUGCGCCUCCACACACACACACAGAAAACACACACACACACACACACACACACACACACACACACACACACACACACACAUAUAAAACUAAAACUAUAAAGCAAUGGUUGUUCACCACCUCAACGUGGCUGUUCCAUACAGAACACUGUUACUUCUCUUUUAACCCCAGGAGGACAUCUCCGCCAGCUGGGCAGCAACACACUGUGUUAUGUCCUCCUGGGGUUAAAAAGAGAAGUAACAGUGUUCUGUAUGGAACAGCCACGUUGAAGUGGUAAAAACAACCAUUGCUGUUUCUAUCCCUUAACUGUUUUCCUUGUCCAAGUAAGGGAUCUUUUAUUUCAUUACAUCUUCAAAUAUGCAAAGCCAGCAGAUGGGUUGUGGGCAGGGAAAUCACAACAUCACACUUGCAUCAAUCAGGGUUUUUCCAAGAAGCACAAAAUGUAAACAACCACACACAACCACAUGCACCAAGAUGCACACACACACACACACACACACGCACAAGUAACUUUUAAAACUGCGAGGCAGGGACACAUAGAAACACACACACACACACACACAUACAUACAUACGUCUACUACACGCCAUUUUAAACUCGUGGUUACCUGUGUGUACGUUUGUGGGUGUGUGUGUGUCACAUCCUAUAACUCUCUACUUUUGUAGGGUCUUCCCUGUUUCUGUCACAUACUGUGAGAUUUUGAAUUACGUCUAAAUUUUCAAAUUUGGUAUAUUGAAAUAAUUUCCACGUUAAAUCCGAUUUUAUUUGGUUGUUCCAGAAAAAUUGCAGAAAAAUGUUAUUGAGGUUUAAAGUUUAAUCAAUUUUACCUAAUCAGAAAACAGGAUUUAGAAGGCGGCAUUUGUUGCAUGAUAGCUGUCUAUCACAAAAUGAAAGCAAAAUUAUUAGGAGGAGGAAUUUUUAUUAACCAAAGCAUUACGACGAUCGAAGUUGUAAGAACUGCUGAAGUUUUAAUAAGUUUUCAUGAAUAAAAUCAUGUGAAACGGUCAAAAAGAAAGCACAAAUCUGUCCUGAUCAAGAGGCCUAUCUGUCGGGGAAGGAACAGUCUGAGAUGGAAUAAACAAAACUUUAUAUAAGACAUUCUACUGUAAAAACUGCCUGGCAACGACGGGCUGCUCAGCUAAGUAUAUAUAUAUACCAGAGUAAGCAUAUAACUGUAAAACAUGGUGGAAAAAUAAAACUCAAACACUAGAGGAAGAGUAAUAUGCUUUAUUAAAAAGCAGCAAAAAUAUCACAAAAACCGUUACUCAGAGUUUCACGUUCCUGUUCGUCGGACAAUUCGGUUUCUACAACCUCUCCGACGAACGGGAACGUGAAACUCUGAGUAACGGAUUUUGUGGGUUUUUUCUGCUUUUCAAUAAAGUAUAUAUAUAUAUAUAUAUACAGAGGGAGAGAGAGAGAGCGAGAGAGAGAGAGAAAGAGAGAGAGA